rnacentral:rRNA from 1 species
ACAACAGUUGGAAACGACUGCUAAUACCGCAUACGAUCUAAUCUCGGCAUCGAGGAUAGAUGAAAGGUGGCCUCUACAUGUAAGCUAUCACUGAAGGAGGGGAUUGCGUCUGAUUAGCUAGUUGGAGGGGUAACGGCCCACCAAGGCGAUGAUCAGUAGCCGGUCUGAGAGGAUGAGCGGCCACAUUGGGACUGAGACACGGCCCAGACUCCUACGGGAGGCAGCAUG